rnacentral:rRNA from 1 species
AACGAACGCUGGCGGCAUGCCUAACACAUGCAAGUCGAACGAGGCCCUUCGGGGUUUAGUGGCGCACGGGUGCGUUACGCGUGGGAAUUUUCCCUUUGGUUUGGAAUAACAGCUGGAAACGGCUGCUAAUACCGGAUGAUGACGAAAGUCCAAAGAUUUAUCGCCAGAGGAUGAGCCCGCGUUGGAUUAGGUAGUUGGUGGGGUAAAGGCCUACCAAGCCGACGAUCCAUAGCUGGUUUGAGAGGAUGAUCAGCCCCACUGGGACUGAGACCCGGCCCCGACUCCUACGGGAGGCAGCAGUGGGGAAUAUUGGACAAUGGGCGCAAGCCUGAUCCAGCAAUGCCGCGUGAGUGAUGAAGGCCCUGGGGUUGUAAAGCUUUUUUUCCCGGGAAGAUAAUGACUGUACCGGGAGAAUAAGCCCCGGCUAACUCCGUG